rnacentral:sRNA from 1 species
GCGGAGGAAAAGAAACCAACAGGGAUUGCCCUAGUAACGGCGAGUGAAGCGGCAACAGCUCAAAUUUGAAAUCUGGCGUCUUUGGCGUCCGAGUUGUAAUUUGCAGAGGGCGCUUUGGCAUUGGCAGCGGUCCAAGUUCCUUGGAACAGGACGUCACAGAGGGUGAGAAUCCCGUACGUGGUCGCUAGCCUUUACCGUGUAAAGCCCCUUCGACGAGUCGAGUUGUUUGGGAAUGCAGCUCUAAAUGGGAGGUAAAUUUCUUCUAAAGCUAAAUACUGGCCAGAGACCGAUAGCGCACAAGUAGAGUGAUCGAAAGAUGAAAAGCACUUUGGAAAGAGAGUUAAAAAGCACGUGAAAUUGUUGAAAGGGAAGCGCUUGCAGCCAGACUUGCCUGUAGUUGCUCAUCCGGGUUUUCACCCGGUGCACUCUUCUAUAGGCAGGCCAGCAUCAGUUUGGGCGGUUGGAUAAAGGUCUCUGUCAUGUACCUCUCUUCGGGGAGAACUUAUAGGGGAGACGACAUGCAACCAGCCUGGACUGAGGUCCGCGCAUCUGCUAGGAUGCUGGCGUAAUGGCUGUAAGCGGCCCGUCUUGAAAACACGGACCAAGGAGUCUAAACAUCUAUGCGAGUGUUUGGGUGUCAAGCCCGAACGCGUAAUGAAAGUGAACGGAGGUGGGAACCUUUCGGGGUGCACCAUCGACCGAUCCUGAUGUCUUCGGGAUGGAUUUGAGUAAGAGCAUAGCUGUUGGGACCCGAAAGAUGGUGAACUAUGCUUGAAUAGGGUGAAGCCAGAGGAAACUCUGGUGGAGGCUCGCAGCGGUUCUGACGUGCAAAUCGAUCGUCAAAUUUGGGCAUUAGGGCGAAGACUAAUCGACUAUCUAGUAGCUGGUACUGCUAG